rnacentral:rRNA from 1 species
GAUGAACGCUGGCGGCGUGCUUAACACAUGCAAGUCGAACGGGAAACCUUUUAUUGAAGCUUCGGCAGAUUUAGCUGGUUUCUAGUGGCGGACGGGUGAGUAACGCGUGGGUAACCUGCCUUAUACAGGGGGAUAACAGUCAGAAAUGGCUGCUAAUACCGCAUAAGCGCACAGAGCUGCAUGGCUCAGUGUGUAAAACUCCGGUGGUAUAAGAUGGACCCGCGUUGGAUUAGCUGGUUGGUGGGGUAACGGCCCACCAAGGCGACGAUCCAUAGCCGGCCUGAGAGGGUGAACGGCCACAUUGGGACUGAGACACGGCCCAGACUCCUACGGGAGGCAGCAGUGGGGAAUAUUGCACAAUGGGGGAAACCCUGAUGCAGCGACGCCGCGUGAAGGAAGAAGUAUCUCGGUAUGUAAACUUCUAUCAGCAGGGAAGAUAAUGACGGUACCUGACUAAGAAGCCCCGGCUAACUACGUG